GUGCCAGCAGCCGCGGUAAUACAGAGGUCCCAAGCGUUGUUCGGAUUCACUGGGCGUAAAGGGUGCGUAGGCGGUCGGGUAAGUCUGACGUGAAAUCUUCAAGCUCAACUUGGAAACUGCGUCGGAUACUAUUCGGCUAGAGGAAUGGAGGGGAGACUGGAAUACUUGGUGUAGCAGUGAAAUGCGUAGAUAUCAAGUGGAACACCAGUGGCGAAGGCGAGUCUCUGGACAUUUCCUGACGCUGAGGCACGAAAGCCAGGGGAGCAAACGGGAUUAGAUACCCCGGUAGUCCUGGCCCUAAACGGUGCACGUUUGCUGUAAGAGGAAUCGACCCCUUUUGUGGCGAAGCUAACGCGUUAAACGUGCCGCCUGGGAAGUACGGCCGCAAGGUUAAA
rnacentral:rRNA from 1 species